UACGAAGGGGGCUAGCGUUGUUCGGAAUUACUGGGCGUAAAGCGCGCGUAGGCGGAUUUGCCAGUCAGGGGUGAAAUGCCAGGGCUUAACCUUGGAACUGCCUUUGAUACUGCAAGUCUGGAGUACGGGAGAGGUGAGUGGAAUUCCGAGUGUAGAGGUGAAAUUCGUAGAUAUUCGGAGGAACACCAGAAGCGAAGGCGGCUCACUGGCCCGAUACUGACGCUGAGGCGCGAAAGCGUGGGGAGCAAACAGG
rnacentral:rRNA from 2 species